GUACAUUUGAUUUCGCUAGUAAAAUAUUUGUCUCCCUCUUUUUCAGCUUUUCAAUAUAUCUUUUCUUCUGAUUUCGCUCUUAGUCAAACCUAAAUCAGGAUUUAUAUCACCGCAUGGACCGUGCAUCAUAUGUUGAAGGACACACGAAUAAAGGGGUGACAUUUUGUUGUCCCGUAGAUGCGUUGGAUGUUGAGCCUGAAGCAUAGAUGGGCAUAAUUUAAAUGUCUAGCUAGAACAUGAUGCAGUAACAAAGUAGAAGGUACAGGUUAUGGGCUGACCUUUUUCAAAUACACAAAAAGGCUGGAAUAUAUUUUUUCCUUUGUCAGAAGACCUCGAUAAUGUAUUGACUUCAUAGCAGGCGUGUUCUGCACAGAAUGUCAAACACGCUCCACAUUAAGUUAGUACGAAGGUAGAUCAUUGUAUUUUGACAUUAGCAGAAGUGAAGAAGAAGCAAUUCAUCAUUUCAACCUUGGA